rnacentral:rRNA from 1 species
UACAGAGGGUGCAAGCGUUGUUCGGAAUUAUUGGGCGUAAAGCGCGUGUAGGCGGUCACGCAAGUCAGGUGUGAAAGCCCAGGGCUCGAACCCUGGAAGUGACACAUGAUACUACGUGGCUGGAGUACUGAAGAGGAGAGCGGAAUUCCCGGUGGUAGAGGUAGAAAAUUCGUAGAUAUCGGGAGGAACACCAGUGGCGGAAGGCGGCUCU